GUCGAGGGGUACAGUCCCGCUUCGGCGGGAGCUGACGACGGCGCACGGGUGAGUAACGCGUAUGCAACUUUCCUGUAACUGGAGGAUAGCCCCUGGAAACGGGGAUUAAUACUGCGUAAUACCUAAAUACCGCAUGGUAUUAAGGUCAAAUCUACGGAGGUUACAGAUGGGCAUGCGUGCCAUUAGCUAGAUGGUAAGGUAACGGCUUACCAUGGCAAUGAUGGCUAGGGGUUCUGCAAGGAAGGCCCCCCACACUGGUACUGAGACACGGACCAGACUCCUACGGGAGGCAGCAGUGAGGAAUAUUGGUCAAUGGAGGCAACUCUGAACCAGCCAAGCCGCGUGAAGGAAGACUGUCCUAUGGAUUGUAAACUUCUUUUGUGGCAGAAUAAACUACCGUACUUGUACGGUAUUGCAUGUAUGCCAUGAAUAAGCAUCGGCUAACUCCGUGCCAGCAGCCGCGGUAAUACGGAGGAUGCAGGCGUUAUCCGGAUUUAUUAGGUUUAAAGGGUGUUCAGGCUGCCUGGUAAGUCAGGGGUGAAAGUCGGUUGCUCAACGAUCGAAUUGCCUUUGAAACUGUCAGGCUCGAGUAUGGAUGCGGUAGGCGGAAUGUGUAGUGUAGCGGUGAAAUGCCUAGAUAUUACACAGAACACCGAUUGCAAAGGCCGCUUACCCAACCAGCACUGACGCUGAAGCACGAAAGCGUGGGGAGCGAACA
rnacentral:rRNA from 1 species